rnacentral:snRNA from 1 species
GCCUGUCGGGACCCGAAA